ACUAAAAUCCGAAAAAAGAAGUGGGAGACGUUCGGUGUUUUUUUUUUUUUUUUUUUUUUUUUGGU
rnacentral:ribozyme from 1 species